CCAAGUAUUCUCGUUUCAGAAAAGAAUCCGACCCUGGACGGCGAAAAGUGCUCAUCCGCAGUCUCCUUUUGCAACCACCCAGCACUUACACCUUGGUUUUGAGCACUUUAGCGGCCUCCUGGCUACAGUUGCCCCUCACUUGUCUGACUCCAACACUGAUUCUGACUCUGGCAGAAAAAAAACAGGGUGAAUAAUCACGUUGAGCUAUAGUUCACACACCCACAUCGGCAUCUCCAGACUGGUGCCAAAGGGGCUUCUUCUCGCAGCCGUUAGUGCAAGUCUAUCAACCUCUAGUUUUCCUACUAGCCCGGCUCCCCUUAGGUCUACUUGCACUGUAUUUGAUGCUUGUCUUCCAGGGCAAGUGCCCGAAUGGAGUGAGACACCAAGUCCGAUGCCAAUGUCCGGGGACAAGAGAUACAUACAAGAGACCGGAGGGUUCCAUUGCAAGCAAUUGCUGCAAAAACAACUACUUGUAGUGGUCUGUUUGUGCUACAAGUAGCGCCAACCACUGAACUAGUGCUCAAACUCCACUACAAUGGCGUGAGAAGACUACAGUGGACUAAACGACAUGGAUCGACGCCAAGAGAAGCUAUAGACCCCCGACGAGGGCCUUCUGGACCGCUUUUGCCCGUCUUGCCCGCUUUGCCCGUUGUGCCCGCUAGUGCCUGUCAACAGCACGCCAUGCGCCAUCUCCGAAACACAUGCCGUAACAGACGCAUGUUUGUUUACAUCGUCAUGACUGUACAAAUAGCCGAGGUUUUGAUUGGUGGGCGAGCCGGGAGUCGUACUAACGGAAGCUGUGCCAACGGAAGCUGUUCUUCAGCUCUUGGUAAUCACCACCCUCUUAGUCAUCAAGACGUCCAAAAGGGCUCUCUAUCCUGGUUCUCCACCGAUGACUAAUCACCGUGCAAAGCCGCAGCCGCAACAACCUCUCAGACCGUUAAACAGGCCAUGUUCGACAACCGUUAUACGGUCGUAUCUUCCACAUAAUGCAGCAGAGAGAUCGAUCGUACACCAAUGUAAACACAGAUGUAAACAUGCACCUAAAGUCAAUGUUAACUGUAUGUUGCUGCAUAUGGAACGGAUCGACUUUCUUCGAUAUAGAGAGGGUCUUCUCCAAGCGACAGAGGCCACGCCAGACUUCUAUCUGACGAUACUCAUAUCCAUCCACUAA
rnacentral:misc_RNA from 1 species